GAGAAGUGAUUAAAGCAUCCUCAUCUGUGAGCUCUUUUAUACAGUUGUCAGACCUCUGGAAGCGUCUGAGGCAUCUUUUGUACCUGACGUCCUUAUUAGCUACAAAACAUGCGUGUGUCAUGUGUGCCAACCCUCCAAAUACUGUAAUUGUUUCAUUCCGUGUUUGUAAUUAUUGUGUUUUUUUACUUUAGCUUGUGACUGGCAAAUAACUGCCCCCCAGGUGUCUUUUAAAUUAAAAGUUUAUGGGUCAACCUUCUUCCUGGUCUUGCUCUAUGGAAUCCAUUGGAGUUGGAGGAUUGUGGGUAAGUCUGCAGGGUACGCACAGCAGUCGUAGGUGGGACCAAUUGCUCUCAUGUGCAUGAAUCCAAUUUGCUCCACGGUCUUAUACGCUGGGUUUUCUGAAACUCCAGUGGGGAAGGAGCCAUUGUAUAGCAUGGUCAGGUGCGCAUCUGAAAUGUUCUGAUUCUGUGGCCACCAAAACCCAUGGAUGUCAGCCCAUUGACCUGUGGAAGGAUUCAGAUGCUUCACACAUCUUGUGAACCCCACUUACACUUUUUAAAAACCUGGAGUGUUGAACUUUAAUUGUGUAUUAUUUCAUUUAAUUUUUUUUCUGUUAUUUUGUAUUCUUUUGGCUUUGCUCUGUAUUUCCCUGCAUGUCAAUUAAAAUUUCAUUUGUUUAAUGACUGCCAGUGGUUUCACCAAUGCAGCAGGAUCAGGAUUCAGAACAGAAGACUAUUGCUAAGCUGCCUGCUGGCAAAUUCUGAGGAUGGUAUUAGGAGAAAAGAAAGCAUGGGGUCUUAUGAAAGCUCUAAAUUACAGCUGUAAAACUGUAUGAUAUGGAUGUCCUUGACUUUUUCCAUAGCUAGGCAAGACAGUUAUUGGCAACUUCAUAUUUUCCAAAUGCAAAGCCUAAUAAGAUAUGCAAGCGAGACAAAAAAAAAUUCCUGGUCAUCUGGGAGCUGCAGAGGGAGAGGGUCCGAAGAGACAAUGUGGUUAUGUUCUGCUUCAAUACUCUUCUCCUUCACCUGCCCUCAUCCACUGUAAGACACCUGCGACCUUCUGGAUGGACCUACGAUCUGUCCCGCGUGGCAUUUCUUGUGUUCUUACUGAGGUGAAGUGUGUUGAGGUGAUGAAGCUAAUCUGAAUCCUGACCAGACUUGGUGUGUGGCAGGAGCCAUGUUUGGCAAGGAGCUUCCCACCCUCUAACAGAACAAAACCCCAAGAAAGUUUUCAUUUAAUUUGAGGAAGAAAAAGAGUCUUUCCCUCUUUGUCUCUUCCGAGCGCUCUAGAUGUUUAUUGCUGUGCUAAGUGAUACCAGGUCUGUGAAAUCUUAAAGGAAAUAGUUUACAAAAAAGGGAUAGAAACCGACUGAUCAUUUUAUAAUGCAAAUUAAAAAGCCCCAAAUUGCAAGGCCAUAAUAACUCAUGACCUAAUUAAGACUUAAAAACCAGUGAGCUUGAUUUGCAUUUUCAAUGUAUCUGUAUUGCUACAUACAGGGGUGUCUUCCAGUAGGAAAGUAUGACAUUUGUAGAAAUGCAAUGAUUUGCCCCUGUAAUGAUUGUUAAUGUAGUGCAUCCUAAAUUCUGAGAGGAUUAGAAUAUCCUCUGUGUCUGUUAUUAUCCUUAUUUUUUAUUAAACUAAGCAGUGGGACAUUGAGGUGAAGGUCACAUUAUUGCCACUAAAUGACUUUAGACACUUGAUAGUCCUGACUGCAUUUUGUGCAACCUUCAACCGACUGAGUGAGUCCUGUGAGAUUGUGUUGCAAGAUAACGGUAGCACUUUGCCAGAUUAAAUAAGGCUUGGCAUUUUGGACUUGUAAAUGUGUCAUUAACAAGAGUAUAAUUAUAUGAGAGUCACAUCCAUGUUUGGCUUUCACGUCUCUUGUUUUUUUGGGUCGAGCUUCUUCUGAAUCAUCUUUUGGAGUAAACAAUGACCACGUACAUCAUGUUGCCAUCUCCUUCCUCUUUUCCUUCUUUGUGGAGGAAGAGAAUUCUGCUGAGGACAGCUUAUAAUCAGAAAAAAAAACCAAGGAAAACAAUUAUUUCAAUGAAAGGUGUGGCAUCCACAACAGAACGUUUUGCAUCUGAUAAACACUAAAGGGUGUUUAGCAGGUACCAAGCAGUUUCUGAAGCUGUAUAAAAGGAGUCACAAAACACUGCUCUUUACUCACUUCUCUUGAUUUACUCUCCGUUAUAAAUCAGGUUCACCUCCAGCACAGCAAGAUGUUUGACAGCCUGGAUGUGAUUGAAGACCUCCAUUACCCGGGCCAGUCUGACUGUUUUCCCCACCAGCGUAGAAGGCCACCAUACACGUGUUGUUGCUAUGACCAAUGGGGAAGGCUGGUCUGGCGUGGUUGCUGCUGGUCUGCACCCCCCUGGUGGUGCCGUAGGGGCAGCUCUGGGAACGGCUGGCCAUGCUAAAUCCAGCUCAAAUAUCCACGGCACUUGGAGCAACACAGACAUGGAAAGCAAGAUACAGAUUCAUGGCUGACCCAGAGGACAUGGCUUGGAGCAGUGCUAAGAGCUCAGCACGUCCGUUGUGAUAGGUUUCACAUUGCUAGAAGACUCCCCCCGCAUACACCUGUUUCCUACACUUUGCUUUCUCACUCUAGGAACUUUGAAUUGUCUGUGCUGUCAAGCAUUGAGACCUCUUCAUGCUGUGCUGUCAUUUAAAAGCAAGCCUCUGCUUCCUUAGAGUCCAUAUGCAAUCCAUUGCAGACCACAUGACACAGCCACAGUUAUCAGAAGGGUUUUUGUGUCAACAGGAAGGAGAAGCAUGUCUAUCCUUUGCUUCUAACUUGAAACUUGGCUGCAGAAUCUGCAUCAUGGAGAAGCUACUUAUUCCCCUCUUUACCUGGUGCUUUUCCUCGUUUGACAUAAUUCUGGGAGAAAAGUAGUAAAUAAAUAGAUGGAAGCAGCUUGGUAGUAAAAGUCAGCAGCUGUAAAGAAAGAAGCACACCUUGUACAAAAUGGGCCAGAUGUAGUAUCCCGGUUGUGAUCCUUUGGCAAACCUUGGGAAUAUUUGCUCUCUCCUCUGGAUCCCUUCUGUGUCUGCAUACUCAAUUUCUUCUGUGCAUUAAAAUUACUUUGUAGCAUUA